rnacentral:rRNA from 1 species
CCCUUCAGAGGGGGACAACAGUUGGAAACGACUGCUAAUACCGCAUACGAUCUGACCUCGGCAUCGAGGAUGGAUGAAAGGUGGCCUCUAUUUAUAAGCCAUCACUGAAGGAGGGGAUUGCGUCUGAUUAGCUAGUUGGAGGGGUAACGGCCCACCAAGGCGAUGAUCAGUAGCCGGUCUGAGAGGAUGAACGGCCACAUUGGGACUGAGACACGGCCCAG